rnacentral:rRNA from 1 species
GGGUGAGUAACACGUGAGCAACCUGCCUUUCAGAGGGGGAUAACGUUUGGAAACGAACGCUAAUACCGCAUAACGUAUACGGAUGGCAUCGUCUGUAUACCAAAGGAGCAAUCCGCUGAAAGAUGGGCUCGCGUCCGAUUAGCUAGAUGGUGAGGUAACGGCCCACCAUGGCGACGAUCGGUAGCCGGACUGAGAGGUUGACCGGCCACAUUGGGACUGAGACACGGCCCAGACUCCUACGGGAGGCAGCAGUGAGGGAUAUUGGGCAAUGGGGGAAACCCUGACCCAGCGACGCCGCGUGAGGGAAGACGGUCUUCGGAUUGUAAACCUCUGUCUUUGGGGACGAAAAAGGACGGUACCCAAGGAGGAAGCUCCGGCUAACUACGUGCCAGCAGCCGCGGUAAUACGUAGGGAGCGAGCGUUGUCCGGAAUUACUGGGUGUAAAGGGAGCGUAGGCGGGAAGGCAAGUUGGAUGUGAAAACUGUGGGCUUAACCGACAGACUGCAUUCAAAACUGUUUUUCUUGAGUGAAGUAGAGGCAAGCGGAAUUCCUAGUGUAGCGGUGAAAUGCGUAGAUAUUAGGAGGAACACCAGUGGCGAAGGCGGCUUGCUGGGCUUUUACUGACGCUGAGGCUCGAAAGUGUGGGGAGCAAACAGGAUUAGAUACCCUGGUAGUCCACACCGUAAACGAUGAUUACUAGGUGUGGGGGCGUC